AGCGGCGGACGGGUGAGUAACACGUGGGUAACCUGCCUGUAAGACUGGGAUAACUCCGGGAAACCGGGGCUAAUACCGGAUGGUUGUUUGAACCGCAUGGUUCAAACAUAAAAGGUGGCUUCGGCUACCACUUACAGAUGGACCCGCGGCGCAUUAGCUAGUUGGUGAGGUAACGGCUCACCAAGGCAACGAUGCGUAGCCGACCUGAGAGGGUGAUCGGCCACACUGGGACUGAGACACGGCCCAGACUCCUACGGGAGGCAGCAGUAGGGAAUCUUCCGCAAUGGACGAAAGUCUGACGGAGCAACGCCGCGUGAGUGAUGAAGGUUUUCGGAUCGUAAAGCUCUGUUGUUAGGGAAGAACAAGUACCGUUCGAAUAGGGCGGUACCUUGACGGUACCUAACCAGAAAGCCACGGCUAACUACGUGCCAGCAGCCGCGGUAAUACGUAGGUGGCAAGCGUUGUCCGGAAUUAUUGGGCGUAAAGGGC
rnacentral:rRNA from 1 species